rnacentral:rRNA from 1 species
AAACAUGCAAGUCGAGCGGAAACAGGAAAGGUGCUUGCACCUUUGCUGUCGAGCGGCGGACGGGUGAGUAAUGCCUAGAUAUCUGCCUAGUCGUGGGGGAUAACAGUUGGAAACUGACUGCUAAUACCGCAUACUGCCCUACGGGGGAAAGGAGGGGACCUUCGGGCCUUUCGCGAUUAGAUGAGUCUAGGUGGGAUUAGCUAGUAGGUAAGGUAAUGGCUUACCUAGGCGACGAUCCCUAGCUGUUCUGAGAGGAUGAUCAGCCACACUGGGACUGAGACACGGCCCAGACUCCUACGGGAGGCAGCAGUGGGGAAUAUUGCACAAUGGGGGAAACCCUGAUGCAGCCAUGCCGCGUGUGUGAAGAAGGCCUUCGGGUUGUAAAGCACUUUCAGCGAGGAGGAAAGGGUAGUAGUUAAUAACUGCUAUCUGUGACGUUACUCGCAGAAGAAGCACCGGCUAACUUCGUGCCAGCAGCCGCGGUAAUACGAGGGGUGCAAGCGUUAAUCGGAAUUACUGGGCGUAAAGCGUACGCAGGCGGUUUGUUAAGCAAGAUGUGAAAGCCCCGGGCUCAACCUGGGAAUUGCAUUUUGAACUGGCAAACUAGAGUCUUGUAGAGGGGGGUAGAAUUUCAGGUGUAGCGGUGAAAUGCGUAGAGAUCUGAAGGAAUACCGGUGGCGAAGGCGGCCCCCUGGACAAAGACUGACGC